rnacentral:rRNA from 1 species
AGCGAACGCUGGCGGCAGGCCUAACACAUGCAAGUCGAACGGAGUCUUCGGACUUAGUGGCGGACGGGUGAGUAACACGUGGGAACGUGCCUUUAGGUUCGGAAUAACUCAGGGAAACUUGUGCUAAUACCGAAUGUGCCCUUCGGGGGAAAGAUUUAUCGCCUUUAGAGCGGCCCGCGUCUGAUUAGCUAGUUGGUGAGGUAAAGGCUCACCAAGGCGACGAUCAGUAGCUGGUCUGAGAGGAUGAUCAGCCACAUUGGGACUGAGACACGGCCCAAACUCCUACGGGAGGCAGCAGUGGGGAAUCUUGCGCAAUGGGCGAAAGCCUGACGCAGCCAAGCCGCGUGAAUGAUGAAGGUCUUAGGAUUGUAAAAUUCUUUCACCGGGGACGAUAAUGACGGUACCCGGAGAAGAAGCCCCGGCUAACUUCGUGCCAGCCGCCGCGGUAA